UGACGAGUUUGAUCCUGGCUCAGAACGAACGCUGGCGGCAGGCUUAACACAUGCAAGUCGAACGCUCGUAGCAAUACGGGAGUGGCGGACGGGUGAGUAACGCGUGGGAACGUGCCCUGAGGUACGGAAUAACUGCGGGAAACUGCAGCUAAUACCGUAUGAGCCCCGUGAGGGGGAAAGAUUUAUCGCCUUAGGAGCGGCCCGCGUCGGAUUAGCUAGUUGGUGGGGUAACGGCUUACCAAGGCUUCGGUCCGUAGCUGGUCUGAGAGGACGAUCAGCCACACUGGGACUGAGACACGGCCCAGACUCCUACGGGAGGCAGCAGUGGGGAAUCUUGCGCAAUGGGGGCAACCCUGACGCAGCCAUGCCGCGUGAAUGAUGAAGGCCUUAGGGUUGUAAAGUUCUUUUGCCCGUGACGAUGAUGACGGUAACGGGAGAAUAAGCUCCGGCUAACUUCGUG
rnacentral:rRNA from 1 species